UCUAUUUAUACUGCCCUUGGUCAAACACCUAUAUAUUGACAUGUAGCUUUCAUACAAAGCUAAAGCUAAACAGGCUAGUUAAUAAUUCAGGGGUUGUUUACUUGGAACAUUCUGUCAACAUUGAAGUUCUUUUUUUUUAUUUCUUCAUAGAUCACCAUUUGAACUUUUAUGGUUUCAGAAUAAAAAUGCACUAGUAUAGGUUCUUGGUAUAUGUAUUACAGAGAUCAUUUCGAAUUUAAAUAAUCAAAAAAACAGACAAAAAAACCAAGUAUAUGGUCAUUUCUUUUUUUACAGAUAUGGAACUACAAACAGUGUAGUAGUUGUAUCGUAUCACCAGGCCAGUAGCCAGGAAUUUCCAAGGGGGGGUUAUUUGGACUCAUGAACUCUACUUUAACAUUCACAAUUUGAACAAAACGUUGACUUUAACAGUGCUUAUUUGGUUUCAAGGGGGGUGGGGGUGGGGGUUCGGACCCUGGCUACGGGUAUGAUCACAUGGUACUAUCAUCUACUGCCCUUGAUCAAACACUUAUAUAUUGAGAUGUAGCUAUCAUACAAAGCUGGAGUUGAAAAUAUAGUGUUUUUUUUUAUAAUUCUUCAGUUUCACAAUGAAAAUGCCCUAGAGAGGUUCCUCAUAUUUGUAUUAGUGUCAUGUGUAUAUUGUAUGCUUACUGUAUUAAUAGUUAUAGUAUAACUAAUCGCCGUAUUUGAAUAUCAAAAAUAAGACAACGCGUGACCGAACGACGCAUGUUCGGUCAUAAGUUGUCUUAUUUUUUAUAUUCAAAUACGGCGAUCAGUUAUUCUUUUUAUUACAUUGGCAAAUGGCUUUUUUUUAUCAAAUUAAUGUAGAAAAUGUAAGGAACUAUAUCUUUUUCCUACGCAUUGACAAUUUGUUUUGAUCCGACGUUAUCGACGUCUUGACAACGCCUAUUGUUGUAUGACGUCAGAGAUUGAAAUAACCACGUUUAUUUCACAUGUGAAAUUAUCGGUUUUUAUCAAACUGGGAAAUCAAUGUAAUUCAUUGCAACCAAUGUAUUAAUCUCUUAUAAAUUUUAACAUGAAUAUGGUAUUACAUGCACAAAAGAUUUUUUUUUUUUUUUUUUUACAGAUUUGGGACAUCAGAUGAUGAGGGGAAUGUUUAUGUGACUAAUAGGAAUACCAACAUUGUAAAAGUAAUAUCUGAUGAUAUCAUAAUAGAGAGAAUGGUAACUGAACAUUUGGAACAUGCUUUGCCAACAUUGAAGUGUUUUUUUUAUAUAAUUCUUCGAUUGAUGACCAUUUUGUAUUUGCUUGUAGUGUUUCAGCAUAAAAAUACACUACAGAGGUUCCUUGUAUUUAUAUCAGUGUACUAUGUAUAUUGUAUGCCUACAUAGAUCAUUUUGACAUUAGAAGAUUUUUUAUUUUAAUUUAAACAUGUAUAUGGUCUACAAUUUAUUUUAUUUUUUUCUUACAGAUAUGUGACAUCAAAUGAUGACGGGAAUGUGUAUGUGACUGAUUUGAGUACCAACACUGUAGUAGUUAUAUCAGAUGAUGGAAAACAUUGCAGAGAAACUAUUACUGAAUCAGACAGUAGUAUUUGAUGAUGGUAAACAUCAUAGAGAAAUUCCUACUAAAUCAGAUGGACUAACAUAAAAGUUAUGCAAAUUUUUGUACAUUUUGUUUUGAGUUUAACAUUAAUAGCUUAUAUUAAUUGAUUUUUGGUGUUUUAACGCCACUUUUAUGCACCGCAUUAAGGCUAUUUCAUGGCAGCUAGUUUUUAUUGGUUGAGGAAGCAAGAGUGCCUGGAGAAAGCCACUGACUUUUGAUAGGAAAACUGACCAUCCUAGUCAAUUAAGAUUGUGGUCAAGUGUACCUGCACGAGCAGAGUUCAAACUCACAACCCCAGUGUUGACUGGCUAGUGAUUACAGUAGUAACUACUUAGACCACUGGGCCACUGAGGUCCCUUAAUAGCUUAUAUAUUGACAUACAAAGAUUACCAGCAAAAAAGGAUUUAAAAAAUACAUGGUAUUCUUAAAAUUGCUCUGCUUUGAUAAUUGUUUAUUGUUUUUUAACACCACUUUCAACACUAUUGUGCUAUUUCGUGGCAGCAAGUUAUUAUUGGUGGAGGAAACCAAAGUGCCAAGAGAGAACCUCUGACCUUCUGUAGGAAAACUGACAAUUUCAGUAAAUUUAGAUUGGAGUCAAGCGCUUGCCCUAUGCAGGGUUAGAACUUGCAACCUCAAGUGUCGAUAGGCUAGUGAUACAGUAGUUAAGAAUACUAAGAAUACUUAAACAAAGUGACCCCUUUGUUUAUAUUGAAACCUUCUGCUGUUUAUUAUGAUUUUAGAAAUAUAUGAGAGCUUGCUUAAAACUAGACAACAAAACAAUGCCAAGGGUACAUUUGAUAUUGUACAAGUUUCACAAAAUCAUUUGGGUUGAUCGAUUUUUGUUUUGUUCAUUUCAUGUUUGAAAAAUUAAUACAUUUAGAGUUUAAAUUUUUUAUAUGCUCAAUAAUGCCCUAUGUCCAGACUUUCAAGAUGGUAUCACUACUAGGUUAUAAAAUAUGAAACAAUAGUUAAAUCUACUAGUCAUGUUGAUAAAAAAAAAAAAAGCUUCAAAAGAACUAGAAACAUAUACAUGUACUAAUUAUUACAUUUACUAAUGUAUACCUUUAUUAAAAAUAAAUUUCAAACCAGGUAAGGAAUGUAGGGGUAAUGUAAAAAAAAUUC
rnacentral:lncRNA from 1 species